CUCCAGGCGCGCAUGGGCGGCUGGCCCUGGAGGCAACCGCGUGUCAAUUAGAAGCAAAUUAAAACUUCUGAGCUCCCAACCGCGCCUCGGAGGUUGCAGAUGCCGGGCAUAACCCGUCAGAGGCCAACUUCGCUCAAGCAGGAGAGUCUAAUCUGUUCUGUUUCUUGAUACAGAUUUAUGGAUAUGUUUUCAAUGCUAAGAAUAGAAUCCUUCAAGGUUUUUUGUUUUCUUGUUUUAAGAAUGCUCAAGAGGCUCCAGGAGGAGCCAGGCGUGAACCUGCCAGCCUGUCUCCCACUCAUCGGGAAGACGCAGUGUCUCAGGCUUGGGGAGCCGGACUGCACCCACCGCGGAGACAGUCAACCCAGGAGCCUCCAGGAGCCUUGCCCUUGGCCUGCGAUUUGCUUCUCAAGGACCUCCUAUGCCCAGUGGACUGGCCCUCAGCCUUGGAGGGACGAGGAGCCUGGGCCAGCCUGCUCAUCCGCUCCCCAACCGCUGGACUGAGUGCGUCCUGCGUGACAGUCUCUGGCGGGUGUUCCGAAGCCGCACAGUGGCUUCCUCGUCCCCGUUUCACAGAUGCUACACGGAGGCUCCAAGAGGCCGUGGGAGGAACGUGAACAUAGACUCAAGCCCGGGAGGGGACAAGCUGCAGAAUCCACGGAAUCAGGCCUGCGGACUGCGCCGUGAGGGUCUGAGGUUGGGGUCAGCAUCAGAAAUGCCAGAGAGGACGCUGGACCCCACCGAAGAGCGGAGACAACGUUUGCCGGAAGCGUGUGCCACCUGAUGC
rnacentral:lncRNA from 1 species